UGGGGGAUAUUGCACAAUGGGCGAAAGCCUGAUGCAGCGACGCCGCGUGGGGGAUGAAGGCUUUCGGGUUGUAAACCUCUUUCGCUAUCGAACAAGGCCCGCUUAGGGUGGGUUGAGGGUAGGUGGAGAAGAAGCGCCGGCUAACUACGUGCCAGCAGCCGCGGUAAUACGUAGGGCGCGAGCUUUGUCCGGAAUUAUUGGGCGUAAAGGGCUUGUAGGCGGCUUGUUGCGCCUUCUGUGAAAACGCGGGGCUUAACUUCGCGCGUGCAGUGGGUACGGGCAGGCUUGAGUGUGGUAGGGGUGACAGGAAUUCCAGGUGUAGCGGUGGAAUGCGCAGAUAUCUGGAGGAACACCGAUGGCGAAGGCAGGUCACUGGGCCAUUACUGACGCUGAGGAGCGAAAGCAUGGGUAGCGAACAGG
rnacentral:rRNA from 1 species